UGAGCCAUUUCUCCAGCCCCAUCCAUCCAUUUUAUUACAAAUAACAUAAUGUCGUUUUUCUUUACUUUCACAACAGAAGAGAGCUUCAAUUGGAUCUUCAGCAGGUGAUGCCAUCUUGUCCAGGGUCUCUUUUGUCUUGCACUGUGGACAUUCAGCACUGGAGAAUUCUUUGCUUUUUUUGACAUUGGACUCCUGUUUUAGUGAAACCCAAGAGUCCCUAGCCACCUGGAAGAACUAACAGGUAAUUAAUGAAACCAAAGGCCCAACCACUGCUUAAUGACCCACAGAAUGCUAUUUCCAUGGUCAGCAU
rnacentral:lncRNA from 1 species